UACGGGGGGGGCAAGCGUUGUUCGGAAUUACUGGGCGUAAAGGGCUCGUAGGCGGCCAACUAAGUCGGAUGUGAAAUCCCCAGGCUUAACCUGGGAACUGCAUCCGAUACUGGAUGGCUUGAAUUCGGGAGAGGGAUGCAGAAUUCCAGGUGUAGCGGUGAAAUGCGUAGAUAUCAGGAGGAACACCGGUGGCGAAGGCGGUUGCCUGGAGCUUUGCUGACGCUGAUGCGCGAAAGCGUGGGGAGCGAUCCGG
rnacentral:rRNA from 1 species